rnacentral:rRNA from 1 species
AACGAACGCUGGCGGCAUGCCUAACACAUGCAAGUCGAACGAACCCUUCGGGGUUAGUGGCGCACGGGUGCGUAACGCGUGGGAAUCUGCCCUUUGCUUCGGAAUAACAGUUAGAAAUGACUGCUAAUACCGGAUGAUGUCUUCGGACCAAAGAUUUAUCGGCAAAAGGAUGAGCCCGCGUAGGAUUAGGUAGUUGGUGGGGUAAAGGCCUACCAAGCCGACGAUCCUUAGCUGGUCUGAGAGGAUGAUCAGCCACACUGGGACUGAGACACGGCCCAGACUCCUACGGGAGGCAGCAGUGGGGAAUAUUGGACAAUGGGCGAAAGCCUGAUCCAGCAAUGCCGCGUGAGUGAUGAAGGCCUUAGGGUUGUAAAGCUCUUUUACCAGGGAUGAUAAUGACAGUACCUGGAGAAUAAGCUCCGGCUAACUCCGUGCCAGCAGCCGCGGUAAAGUCUGU